rnacentral:lncRNA from 1 species
GCUUAUCCAAACAUGGCAAGUUAAGGGAUGCCCAACUCUUGAGCACCUCCCCCAUAUUUUCGUGCAUGGAUCACCAGAAAAGGGUACACAAUGUGAAUCCUAAAAGACACAAAAUUUUUAAAAAAAAAUUGUAUAAAUUCGGUGCAAAAUUGAAAGAGUUUUGGAUUUCUAAAACUCUAUCUCAUAGAAUUCAAAAUCCAAACUUAUUCCUUUUAGAUUUGAUACAAACCACCUUCCAUGUAAGAAAGAAGAGAAGAGACCUUUUGUGAACGUGGGAGAGAUCUGGGAGAGGGCUUUUGUCGCACAAAAUAAGUGGAGAUUGGCUUUGAAUUAAGAGAGAGGGCGUGGAGAAGGCUUAUGUGGCGCAAGGUCGAAUCCUAGUCUUACUAGGAUUCUGUCUUAUGACUUGUUUUAAUUUGGUUUCCCAAACCAAAUCAAAUCAAAAUUAGAUCAAUCUAAUUAAAAUAGGUCUUA